rnacentral:misc_RNA from 1 species
CUGAGUGAGGGAGCAAUCCCGACCUCCAACCCUUUGUGAACGCAUCAUGUUGCUCCGGGGGCGACCCUGCCGUUCGCGGCAUUCCCCCCGGAGGUAAUCAAAACACUGCAUUCUUACGUCGGAGUAAAAAGUUAAUUUAAUA